ACGUAGGGGGCGAGCGUUGUCCGGAAUCAUUGGGCGUAAAGCGCGUGUAGGCGGCUUGGCAAGUCUGGUGUGAAAGCUCGAGGCUCAACCUCGAGUCUGCACCGGAAACUGCCUUGCUAGAGUCCGGAAGAGGAGACUGGAAUUCCUGGUGUAGCGGUGAAAUGCGUAGAUAUCGGGAAGAACACCGGUGGCGAAGGCGGGUCUCUGGGCGGGAACUGACGCUCAUGCGCGAAAGCGGGGGGAGCAAACAG
rnacentral:rRNA from 1 species